rfam:Alligator mississippiensis ScZkoYb_850, whole genome shotgun sequence.
GGGCCAGUGGUGCAAUGUAUAACACGUCUGAUUACAAAUCAGAAGAUUGUAGGUUCGACUUCUGCUUGGCUCG